GCGCCCGUAGCUCAAUUGGAUAGAGCAUCUGACUACGAAUCAGAAGGUUGGGAGUUCGAGUCUCUCCGGGCGCG
rnacentral:tRNA from 1 species